AUGGCCGCCACCGCGUCCCUGUCUGCCGUCGCGGCGCCCCUGUCCGUCGCCGGGCUCAAGAAGGCCGCGUCGUUCCGGCCCCUGCCGGUGGUCAGGGCCGGCAGGCCCGCGGCGAGGAUGACGGCCGUCCGGGCGUCCUCCGCGUCCGUGCAGGAGAAGCUCACGGCCGGGCUGACCGCGGCGGCCGUGGCGGCGGCGCUGGUGCUGCCCGAGGUCGCGGAGGCCGCGUCCCCGGGGCUGUCCCCGUCGCUCAAGAACUUCCUGCUCAGCAUCGUGUCCGGCGGGGUCGUCUUCGCCGGCAUCGCCGGGGCCGUCGUCGCCGUCUCCAACUUCGACCCCGUCAAGAGGACCUGA
rnacentral:rRNA from 1 species